CCUACGUGAGGCAGCAGUGGGGAAUAUUGCGCAAUGGGCGAAAGCCUGACGCAGCGACGCCGCGUGAGGGAUGAAGGUCUUCGGAUCGUAAACCUCUGUCAGCAGGGAAGAACGGUCACUGUGCUAAUCAGCAGUGAAUUGACGGUACCUGCAAAGGAAGCACCGGCUAACUCCGUGCCAGCAGCCGCGGGAAUACGGGGGGUGCGAGCGUUAAUCGGAAUUACUGGGCGUAAAGCGCUCGUAGGCGGUAUGUCAAGUCAAGGGUGAAAUCCCCGCGCUAAACGUGGGAACUGCCUUUGAAACUGGCAAACUGGAGUGUGUGAGAGGAUAGUGGAAUUCCAGGUGUAGGAGUGAAAUCCGUAGAUAUCUGGAGGAACAUCAGUGGCGAAGGCGACUAUCUGGCACAUAACUGACGCUGAGGAGCGAAAGCGUGGGUAGCAAACAGGAUUAGAUACCCGAGUAGUC
rnacentral:rRNA from 1 species